rnacentral:rRNA from 1 species
AUGCACGCUGGCGGCGUGCUUAACACAUGCAAGUCGAACGGGAAACCUUUUAUUGAAGCUUCGGCAGAUUUAGCUGGUUUCUAGUGGCGGACGGGUGAGUAACGCGUGGGUAACCUGCCCUAUACAGGGGGAUAACAACCAGAAAUGGUUGCUAAUACCGCAUAAGCGCACAGGGCCGCAUGGUCCGGUGUGAAAAACUCCGGUGGUAUAGGAUGGACCCGCGUUGGAUUAGCCAGUUGGCAGGGUAACGGCCUACCAAAGCGACGAUCCAUAGCCGGCCUGAGAGGGUGAACGGCCACAUUGGGACUGAGACACGGCCCAGACUCCUACGGGAGGCAGCAGUGGGGAAUAUUGCACAAUGGGGGAAACCCUGAUGCAGCGACGCCGCGUGAAGGAAGAAGUAUCUCGGUAUGUAAACUUCUAUCAGCAGGGAAGAUAGUGACGGUACCUGACUAAGAAGCCCCGGCUAACUACGUG